AAGACCUUGCACUUUUGGAGCGGCCGAUGUCUGAUUAGCUAGUUGGUGGGGUAAUGGCCUACCAAAGCUUCGAUCAGUAGCUGGUUUGAGAGGACGGCCAGCCACACUGGGACUGAGACACGGCCCAGACUCCUACGGGAGGCAGCAGUGGGGAAUUUUGGACAAUGGGCGCAAGCCUGAUCCAGCCAUGCCGCGUGAGUGAAGAAGGCCUUCGGGUUGUAAAGCUCUUUCAGCCGGGAAGAAAAGGUUGCGACUAAUAAUCGCAAUCCAUGACGGUACCGAAAGAAGAAGCACCGGCUAACUACGUGCCAGCAGCCGCGGUAAUACGUAGGGUGCGAGCGUUAAUCGGAAUUACUGGGCGUAAAGGGUGCGCAGGCGGUUUUGUAAGUCAGAUGUGAAAUCCCCGGGCUUAACCUGGGAACU
rnacentral:rRNA from 1 species